UCAGGGGUAAACCUGUGGUUCCCGAAAGUUCGAACGGGGAGAUUCAAUUGCCUCGCCGGUUAUGACCAUUUAACAGUGAUGUGUUUAUGAUAUAUAUUUGAGACAUUAUAUGGCGGUUGCGGGUUUAUUCUCGUAGCUGUUUCUGUAUAGUGCUCCACUGUUUUAUGAUAUAUAGUUUAUAGCCGGAGGCGUGCACUUCUCCCCUUGUAGGACGUCGUGACCCAUUGGAUUAUGUUGUCUAAGGCUUAUAAUGGAGACCGUGGCAUUAAGUUUCGGCUUUAAUGACCCGGACUUAUAAUGUCCCGACAUCUAUCCGAUGGUAUAAUUAUGAUGAUAGAUCGCUAUAAAUGUGAUAUGAGCGUUCAGAUCCAUAACAAAUUCUUUUUAUGAAAUAGUGGAAAUCGGAUUUAAUGCCGAUUCUACACAUAUAGUAUUGAUAGUUGUGGUAUUCUCGAACCGUUCUUUAUCAUCAGUCAACGGCGUUUAUGUUUUGGGUAAUUACAGGACCCGUCUUGAAACACGGACCAAGGAGUCUAGCAUGUGCGCAAGUCAUUGGGACUUUGUGAAACCUAAAGGCGUAAUGAAAGUGAAAUAUUUGUGAAUUUUCGUAAUUCACUGAAUUUAAGGGAAGAUGGGUAACGUUUUUUAUGUUACCUCGCAUUCCCGGGGCGUCGCGUACUUAUUGCAAGUUGCGGCGCACCAAGAGCGUACACGCUGGGACCCGAAAGAUGGUNAACUAUGCCUGGUCAGGAUGAAGUCAGGGGAAACCCUGAUGGAGGUCCGUAGCGAUUCUGACGUGCAAAUCGAUCGUAUGAACUGGGUAUAGGGGCGAAAG
rnacentral:rRNA from 1 species